rnacentral:rRNA from 1 species
GGAAUGACUGGGCGUAAAGCGCGCGUAGGUGGCUUGAUAAGCCGGUUGUGAAAGCCCCGGGCUCAACCUGGGAACGGCAUCCGGAACUGUCAGGCUAGAGUGCAGGAGAGGAAGGUAGAAUUCCCGGUGUAGCGGUGAAAUGCGUAGAGAUCGGGAGGAAUACCAGUGGCGAAGGCGGCCUUCUGGACUAACACUGACACUGAGGUGCGAAAGCGUGGGUAGCAAACAGGAUUAGAUACCCUGGUAGUCCACGCCGUAAACGAUGUCGACUAGCCGUUGGGUUCCUUGAGGACUUAGUGGCGCAGUUAACGCGAUAAGUCGACCGCCUGGGGAGUACGGCCGCAAGGUUAAAACUCAAAUGAAUUGACGGGGGCCCGCACAAGCGGUGGAGCAUGCGGUUUAAUUCGAUGCAACGCGAAGAACCUUACCUACCCUUGACAUCCUCGGAAGCCGGAAGAGAUUCCGGUGUGCCUUCGGGAACCGAGAGACAGGUGCUGCAUGGCUGUCGUCAGCUCGUGUUGUGAAAUGUUGGGUUAAGUCCCGUAACGAGCGCAACCCCUGUCCCUAUUUGCCAGCACGUAAUGGUGGGAACUCUAGGGAGACUGCCGGUGACAAACCGGAGGAAGGUGGGGACGACGUCAAGUCAUCAUGGCCCUUACGGGUAGGGCUACACACGUGCUACAAUGGCAGGUACAAAGGGCCGCAAGACGGCGACGUGGAGCGAAUCCCAGAAAGCCUGCCUCAGUUCGGAUCGGAGUCUGCAAC